CGGGAUGUGGCGCAGUCCGGUUAGCGCACACGCCUGGGGGGCGUGGGGUCGCAGGUUCAAAUCCUGUCAUCCCGA
rnacentral:tRNA from 1 species